rnacentral:rRNA from 1 species
AGCGAACGCUGGCGGCAGGCUUAACACAUGCAAGUCGAACGCCCCGCAAGGGGAGUGGCAGACGGGUGAGUAACACGUGGGAACGUACCCUUUGGUUCGGAAUAACUUGGGGAAACUCAAGCUAAUACCGGAUAAGCCCUUAUGGGGAAAGGUUUACUGCCGAAGGAUCGGCCCGCGUCUGAUUAGCUAGUUGGUGAGGUAAUGGCUCACCAAGGCGACGAUCAGUAGCUGGUCUGAGAGGAUGAUCAGCCACACUGGGACUGAGACACGGCCCAGACUCCUACGGGAGGCAGCAGUGGGGAAUAUUGGACAAUGGGGGCAACCCUGAUCCAGCCAUGCCGCGUGAGUGAUGAAGGCCUUAGGGUUGUAAAGCUCUUUUGUUAGGGACGAUGAUGACGGUACCUAACGAAUAAGCUCCGGCUAACUUCGUGCCAGCCGCCGCCGUAACAC